rfam:Triticum aestivum genome assembly, contig: Triticum_aestivum_CS42_TGACv1_scaffold_225676_3B
UUGUUACUCUCCCCAUCCCAAAAUUCUUGUCUUAGAUUUAUCUAGAUACGGAUGUAUCUAACACUAAAAUGUGAAUAGAUACAUUCAUAUGUAGACAAAUUUAAGACAAGAAUUUUGAGACGGAGGGAGUAUAAA